rnacentral:lncRNA from 1 species
GUGAUGUCAUCAACUUCAGCUACAUUAGCCUGUACAAAUUUCCUUUUCUUGUUAUUCCCUUGAGAAGUCUGUGGAAUACAAUCCUUAGCCUUAUGUCCUGGCUUAUUACACACAAAGCAAUUUCCAUUAAACUUCUUCUGUGUUGGCUUCACCAUUUUUCCACUAUGCUUCCUUUUCUUGUUAUGAAAGUGAUUCCAUCCUUCAUGUUCCACCACGUUGGCCUUAGAUUCCAUGUGGUUGAAAAUCU